UUAAAUUAGUAAGAGCGUACGGUGGAUGUCUUGGCAUAUAGAGCAGAAGAAGGACGCAGAUAACGGCGAAACGCCUCGGGGAGUCGUACACAGGCAACGAUCCGGGGGUAUCCGAAUGGGGAAACCCGAUAAAGUUGAAAAGCUUUAUCAUCCUUAAGCCAAUACAUAACUUAAGAGAAGGCAACCCAGGGAAUUGAAACAUCUUAGUACCUGGAGGAGAAGAAAAUAACAAUGAUUCCGAGAGUAGUGGCGAGCGAAAUCGGAGCAGCCCAAACCAGCAAAGAGCUGGGGUAGUAGGACCACGACAAGUGAUUGAAAAGAGAUAGUCGAAUGGCAUUGAAAGGUCAGCCGCAGAAGGUGCAAGCCCUGUAGGCGAAAUCUCGAUUCACGCGAGUGGUAUCCUGAGUACGUCGGAGCACGUGAAACUCUGACGGAAUCAACCGGGACCAUCCGGUAAGGCUAAAUACUCCUAUAUGACCGAUAGUGAACCAGUACCAUGAGGGAAAGAUGAAAAGAACCGCGGGAGCGGAGUGAAAUAGAUCCUGAAACCGUAUGCUUACAAAAAGUCAGAGCACAUUAAGGUGUGAUGGCGUGCCUUUUGUAGAAUGAACCGGCGAGUUAUCUUUGCAUGCGAGGUUAAGCAGACAAUGCGGAGCCGUAGCGAAAGCGAAUCUUAAUAGGGUGGCAAGUAUGUAGAGAUAGACCCGAAGCCGUAGUGAUCUAGUCAUGAGCAGGUUGAAGGCUGGGUGAAUCCAGCUGGAGGACCGAACCGACCCCCGUUGAAAAGUUGGCGGAUGACUUGUGAUUAGCGGAGAAAUUCCAAUCGAACACGGCGAUAGCUGGUUCUCCCCGAAAUAGCUUUAGGGCUAGCGUUGAACGAAUCUACCCGGAGGUAGAGCACUGAAAUCAUGCGGGCGGCAUCUCGCCGUACCAAAUGAUAUCAAACUCCGAAUGCCGGGCAAGAAUAUUCAGCAGUCAGACUGUGGGUGAUAAGGUCCAUGGUCAAAAGGGAAACAGCCCAGAUCAUCAGAUAAGGUCCCAAAAUUUACGCUAAGUGGAAAAGGAUGUGGAGACGCGCAAACAGCUAGGAGGUUGGCUCAGAAGCAGCCAUCCUUCAAAGAGUGCGUAACAGCUCACUAGUCGAGUAUCUCUGCGCCGAAAAUUAACCGGGGCUAAGCGUAAUACCGAAUCUAUGGAUUUAUACUUAGGUAUAAGUGGUAGGGGAGCGUUCCAUACAGCAUUGAAGGUAUACCGUAAGGAGUGCUGGAGCGUAUGGAAGUGAGAAUGCCGGUGUGAGUAGCGAGAUGUGGGUGAGAAUCCCACACACCGAAAAACCAAGGUUUCCAGGGGAAGGUUCGUCCGCCCUGGGUAAGUCGGGACCUAAGGCCAGGCCGAAAGGCGUAGUCGAUGGACAGCAGGUUGAUAUUCCUGCACCCGCGAGUAAAGUGAUGGAGUGACAGAUAGGGUUAACCCAAGUCCUAAAUGGAUUGGGCAAGGCAAGCAGGAGAGUGGCGUAGGCAAAUCCGCGCCGGAUACUCAAAGGCUUGACUCAAGCGAACGCGCGAGCAAGUAGUGAAGAGGGUGAUACCAGGUCUCAAGAAAAGCUUCUAGCGAUAAUUUACUAGCGGCCCGUACCAAAACCGACACAGGUGGUUGAGGCGAGUAGCCUAAGGUGAGCGAGAGAACUGUUGCCAAGGAACUCGGCAAAUUGACCCCGUACGUUAGCAAUAAGGGGUGCUCGAAAGAGCCGCAGUGAAUAGGCCCUAGCAACUGUUUAACUAAAACAUAGCUCUCUGCGAAGUCGCAAGACGAAGUAUAGGGGGUGACACCUGCCCGGUGCUGGAAGGUCAAGGGGAUUUGUCAGACGCAAGUCGAAGCAUUGAACCGAAGCCCCAGUGAACGGCGGCCGUAACUAUAACGGUCCUAAGGUAGCGAAAUUCCUUGUCGGGU
rnacentral:rRNA from 1 species